rnacentral:sRNA from 1 species
CGCGGCCUGAGUGAAACCCAAUGGAAAAAGCAUGACAUUUAGAAGUAGAAGACUUCGCUUCAAAUCCCUACUCCUUCACUUACUAAUUUUGUGAUUUGGAAAUAUCCGCGCAAGAUGUUGACGUUGCAGACUUGGUUAGUGCAAGCCUUGUUUAUUUUCCUCACCACUGAAUCUACAGGGCAACACACAAGUUUGCUGAUUGCAAAGCAAAACGUGACACCCCCACCUCAUGCACUGUUGAUUAUUCUACUGUGUAUUUUGUCAACAUUGAAGUCUGGGUAG